rnacentral:lncRNA from 10 species
AAGAUUUGGAGCCUGUUUGUUUCUCUCUGCCUGGUUCCUCUAAAAUUUGGAAACUAUCUAUACAGCAAGAAAGCAGCAUCUGCAAGAAAGCCCUCACCAGGACCAAAUCAGCUGACACCUCAACCUUGGACUACCCAGCUUCCCGAACUGUGAGUUUCUCCAUCAACUUAGCUGGCAGCUCCUGUCCCCAGCAGCAUCAGAGGCCCCAUGAAAAGAGCUCCAGCAGGGGCUCAGCCUGCAUGGGUCCCAUGCGGCAGCCUCAGUGUCAGAGCCUGGAUGGCAGUUUAAAGGAAGCAGCUGGCGAGAGGGGAGCCCAGCACACUAUGCAAGAGAGAUGCCUCUAAGAUUUUAUCUGUGGCCACCGACUGGAGCCAUUUGGACCGGGUACAGCAGUGGAAACUCUGUGAUGGUGACAAACAUGGGAAUCACUCUGAUGUGACGCAGUUAAAUUUACACCUUAAAAAAUGGAUGCCAAGACAACAUAAACAAGACCCAGGGACACCAACAGGGUAUGGUGCUGUGCCCCAGAGUCAGGGUCCUGGGUUCUUACCCAGGGAAGUGAGAAAUAAAGAUAACUUUUCCCUGCUCCCUCUCUCCUCCCCUGACACUGAUCUUCCCACCCUGUACCUCCCUCUUCUGCUCCCAAACCCCCACCCAGUGCUCAGUCGCAGACAUCACUGCCUGCAGGGCAUGCACAGUGCAGCCCAUUGCACACAAACUACAAACUCACAGAAGGUGAUGACAAUUUGUGUUUGGGACGUCUGAUUGUGAAAGAGGGAGGACAGCGUACUUGCAGCCACAGAGACUGAAACUGGAACGUGAUGGAACGGGGCUGGAACGUGAUGGAGCUCUGACAUAACAGACGUGUGACUUUGUGUGAAAUGUGCAGAUCCAUGUGGAAUAAAACACAGCCUAGCCUGUGGCUGCUGCCGUCCACAUUUCCCUCAUCUUCCAACAGAAGUCAGCAGGGUCCCUCCCAGCCUGGAACCUCCCUAGAGACUGCUGACCUCCCUUGGCAGGGCCCACAGGCCAGCAGGGUCCGCCCUCACCAGGGUCACUUGGCCCAUGUCCUCCUUGCUCCUCCAAGCUCCCCACCCAAGUCUGUCAGCU